rnacentral:pre_miRNA from 1 species
CUUUUUGCGGUGUGGGCUUUCUGUGGCGCAGCGCGCCUCUCCCUCUCGGAAAGCCCUUACCCCAAAAAGCAU